UACAGAGGGUGCAAGCGUUAAUCGGAAUUACUGGGCGUAAAGAGUGCGUAGGCGGAUAAUUAAGUCAUAUGUGAAAGCCCCGGGCUUAACCUGGGAAUUGCAUCUGAUACUGGUAAUCUAGAGUAUGGUAGAGGAUAGUGGAAUUUCUGGUGUAGCGGUGAAAUGCGUAGAUAUCAGAAGGAACACCAGUGGCGAAGGCGGCAUCCUGGACCGACACUGACGCUGAGGAGCGAAGCCAGGGGAGCAAACGGG
rnacentral:rRNA from 1 species